GGAUUUGCAUGAAAAUGCAAGUGGUAGGGGAGCGUUCUGUAAGCCUGCGAAGGUGUGCUGUGAGGCAUGCUGGAGGUAUCAGAAGUGCGAAUGCUGACAUAAGUAACGAUAAAGCGGGUGAAAAGCCCGCUCGCCGGAAGACCAAGGGUUCCUGUCCAACGUUAAUCGGGGCAGGGUGAGUCGACCCCUAAGGCGAGGCCGAAAGGCGUAGUCGAUGGGAAACAGGUUAAUAUUCCUGUACUUGGUGUUACUGCGAAGGGGGGACGGAGAAGGCUAUGUUGGCCGGGCGACGGUUGUCCCGGUUUAAGCGUGUAGGCUGGUUUUCCAGGCAAAUCCGGAAAAUCAAGGCUGAGGCGUGAUGACGAGGCACUACGGUGCUGAAGCAACAAAUGCCCUGCUUCCAGGAAAAGCCUCUAAGCAUCAGGUAACAUCAAAUCGUACCCCAAACCGACACAGGUGGUCAGGUAGAGAAUACCAAGGCGCUUGAGAGAACUCGGGUGAAGGAACUAGGCAAAAUGGUGCCGUAACUUCGGGAGAAGGCACGCUGAUAUGUAGGUGAAGCGACUUGCUCGUGGAGCUGAAAUCAGUCGAAGAUACCAGCUGGCUGCAACUGUUUAUUAAAAACACAGCACUGUGCAAACACGAAAGUGGACGUAUACGGUGUGACGCCUGCCCGGUGCCGGAAGGUUAAUUGAUGGGGUUAGCGGUAACGCGAAGCUCUUGAUCGAAGCCCCGGUAAACGGCGGCCGUAACUAUAACGGUCCUAAGGUAGCGAAAUUCCUUGUCGGGUAAGUUCCGACCUGCACGAAUGGCGUAAUGAUGGCCAGGCUGUCUCCACCCGAGACUCAGUGAAAUUGAACUCGCUGUGAAGAUGCAGUGUACCCGCGGCAAGACGGAAAGACCCCGUGAACCUUUACUAUAGCUUGACACUGAACAUUGAGCCUUGAUGUGUAGGAUAGGUGGGAGGCUUUGAAGUGUGGACGCCAGUCUGCAUGGAGCCGACCUUGAAAUACCACCCUUUAAUGUUUGAUGUUCUAACGUUGGCCCCUGAUCGGGGUUGCGGACAGUGUCUGGUGGGUAGUUUGACUGGGGCGGUCUCCUCCUAAAGAGUAACGGAGGAGCACGAAGGUUGGCUAAUCCUGGUCGGACAUCAGGAGGUUAGUGCAAUGGCAUAAGCCAGCUUGACUGCGAGCGUGACGGCGCGAGCAGGUGCGAAAGCAGGUCAUAGUGAUCCGGUGGUUCUGAAUGGAAGGGCCAUCGCUCAACGGAUAAAAGGUACUCCGGGGAUAACAGGCUGAUACCGCCCAAGAGUUCAUAUCGACGGCGGUGUUUGGCACCUCGAUGUCGGCUCAUCACAUCCUGGGGCUGAAGUAGGUCCCAAGGGUAUGGCUGUUCGCCAUUUAAAGUGGUACGCGAGCUGGGUUUAGAACGUCGUGAGACAGUUCGGUCCCUAUCUGCCGUGGGCGCUGGAGAACUGAGGGGGGCUGCUCCUAGUACGAGAGGACCGGAGUGGACGCAUCACUGGUGUUCGGGUUGUCAUGCCAAUGGCACUGCCCGGUAGCUAAAUGCGGAAGAGAUAAGUGCUGAAAGCAUCUAAGCACGAAACUUGCCCCGAGAUGAGUUCUCCCUGAGACUUUAAGUCUCCUGAAGGAACGUUGAAGACGACGACGUUGAUAGGCCGGGUGUGUAAGCGCAGCGAUGCGUUGAGCUAACCGGUACUAAUGAACCGUGAGGCUUAACCUU
rnacentral:rRNA from 1 species